rnacentral:rRNA from 1 species
UACAGAGGUCUCAAGCGUUGUUCGGAUUCAUUGGGCGUAAAGGGUGCGUAGGCGGCGCGGUAAGUCGGGUGUGAAAUCUCGGAGCUUAACUCCGAAACUGCAUUCGAUACUGCCGUGCUUGAGGACUGGAGAGGAGACUGGAAUUUACGGUGUAGCGGUGAAAUGCGUAGAUAUGUGGAGGAACACCGAUGGCGAAGGCAGCCCCCUGGGUCAAGACUGACGCUCAUGCACGAAAGCGUGGGGAGCAAACAGG